CGCCCACUGUCGCUGACAGUUCUCUCUCGGGGACGGGGAUUUCUCACAGACUACGCCGGUGUAGGAGUUCGCUGAGUGAACUGUCCCAUAUUCAUCAAUCAACCAACAACUCAAAAAGGAAUAGUUUCUACUGGAAGCCGUGCAGCAACUUGACAAGAGACCAAGCAGCAUCUGAGGAGCUGCUGUGUUCAUCCAGAUCCAGACCUUGUUAUCUCGGAUUCUCCAGCAUCUGCAGUUCCUACUAUCUCAGUAACUUGACAAGUCUCCUUCAACAGCACUGUCCCAACCCGUAAUCUCUGCCAUCUGGAAGGACAGAGGAUACAGAUACAUGGAAACACCACAACCUAAAGGAUGAAGCUUAAGGAUCACGAUGGAAGUAAAUUCAGUAGCUGUCUGCACAGAAUCGUGGAAAGUCACUUCCGACUAUGUCAAGAACCCUUCAGUGGAAGACAUCCAUUACAAAUUGAACUGUAAUCCCUUGCGAGUAUCUCAGACUGAAUGUGACAGGAGAAAAAGCAGCAGACGGACUAGGUGACAUGUCAUGUUUUCCCUUUUCAAGUAUACACAAGGAGAAUAAUUAAAAAUAGCCAGUUACAAUCCUGGUC